AUUGAACGCUGGCGGCAUGCUUUACACAUACAAGUCGAACGGUAACAGGCCGCAAGGUGCUGACGAGUGGCGAACGGGUGAGUAAUGCAUCGGAACGUGCCCAGUCGUGGGGGAUAACGCAGCGAAAGCUGUGCUAAUACCGCAUACGAUCUAUGGAUGAAAGCGGGGGAACGUAAGGCCUCGCGUGAUUGGAGCGGCCGAUGUCAGAUUAGGUAGUUGGUGGGGUAAAGGCCUAGCAAGCCGACGAUCUGUAGCUGGUCUGAGAGGACGACCAGCCACACUGGGACUGAGACACGGCCCAGACUCCUACGGGAGGCAGCAGUGGGGAAUUUUGGACAAUGGGCGCAAGCCUGAUCCAGCAAUGCCGCGUGCAGGAAGAAGGCCUUCGGGUUGUAAACUGCUUUUGUACGGAACGAAACGGUCUGGGUUAAUACCCUGGGCUAAUGACGGUACCGUAAGAAUAAGCACCGGCUAACUACGUGCCAGCCGCCGCCGUAACAC
rnacentral:rRNA from 1 species